rnacentral:tRNA from 1 species
GGCGACGUUGCCAAGUGGGAAGGCGGUGCUCUGCAAAAGCGCCAUGAGUUGGUUCGAUUCCAGCCGUCGCCU